GACGAACGCUGGCGGCGUGCUUAACACAUGCAAGUCGAACGGAAAGGCCCUGCUUUUGUGGGGUGCUCGAGUGGCGAACGGGUGAGUAACACGUGAGUAACCUGCCCUUGACUUUGGGAUAACUUCAGGAAACUGGGGCUAAUACCGGAUAGGAGCUCCUGCAGCAUGGUGGGGGUUGGAAAGUUUCGGCGGUUGGGGAUGGACUCGCGGCUUAUCAGCUUGUUGGUGGGGUAGUGGCUUACAAAGGCUUUGACGGGUAGCCGGCCUGAGAGGGUGAACGGGCACAUUGGGACUGAGAGACGGCCCAGACUCCAACGGGAGGCAGCAGUUGGAAGUAUUACACAAUGGGCGCACGCCUGAUGCAGAAACGCUGCGUGCGGGAAGACGGCCUUCGAGUUGUAAACCGCUUUCGCCUGUGACGAAGCGUGAGUGACGGUAAUGGGUAAAGAAGCACCGGCUAACUACGUG
rnacentral:rRNA from 1 species